AUUAUAUUUUGUUUGCAUGUGCCUAACAUAUCGUCAUAUUCUCACCUGUAGAAUGUAUUUUUGUUACACUAUAGCAACUUAUCUAGUUCCUGUUAUGCAUGGAUUAGUAUAACUAGGAAGAUAAUUCUACUUUCUUGUUAACUCUUAUCAAACUAUCAUUUUAUUGUUUCAACAGGAAAUAUGAAAAGGCUCUAUCAUAUUAUGAAGAAGCACUUGAUUUUCUGGUCUUGCUUAAACAUACCAACUUAUGGUUUAGAGCUGGAAGAGCUGAGAAGACUGCUUCCGAAUCUAUCUUAUUCUUUUCCUGGAAGUGCAAAUGUUGUAAGAUCAAUCUGUCUCCCUCCCCUCCCUGUUAUUAUGUGUUUAGCCACCAUGUUCAGUGCAUGUGUGGAGUUUAGGCAUAUUAUGUGUUUAAAUCACUUCUGCAAUCGCUAUCUUAGUUUUAUUCUUUUCCAAAAAGUUUGCUUACAGUUGGUUGACUGACCGUUUCCAAAUAUUGACGCCCAUUGCGUUUUCCCAAACCUUUCAUUUUUACCUAUGCCGGGAUGCAAGCUUAUGUUUGACUGUGUAAAUUUGUGGGCAUGUGGCCUCUAGCCAUGGUUGAUUACUAUCUACAUGGUGUCACCCACUGAUUCUUCUUCUGUCCAACCAAAUAUUUGACAUGUGCUUCGUUGUUUGCAUAGGGUGCCUGAAAUAAGCUUAGCUCAAUUGAUUUUGCCCUGUACUAAACAAACAUUUCAUGUAUGAUGCUUGAUAAAUGAGAUCAUUAAAGUAAAUCAACCAGCCUUGACAUGUUCUUGACAGUUAACUUGUGCAUAUAAUGUCAAUAUAGCUACUGUAAUGACUAUACCUGAAUUUACUUGGACUCAAUAUAGCUACUGUCUUGACUACCUGAAUUUUGCUUUAAUUCCAUGCUUUUAUUACUGUCAUCUUAAUACUCCCAAGGACUGGAGUUGUAUCAUUAAAUCAACUGAAAACUAUGAACGGAGCAACAAAACAACACAUGAGACUUGCAGUUAACAUAGAAGGCUAUGUAUUACAAUGUUUUUUCUAUCUAUUGUAUGCUAGUACUACACAGGCAAUUCUAUACAUAUUAGCUCACAAGCAAGUUAAGGCUUUUGAUGUGCUCCAGGUAUCGCCAUUAGCAAGAUACAGUUUAGUGAAGAAUAGUUCAGCUCUACAUUUUUAGUGGCGCAGCUCUUAAUGGAGAAAGUCAAUUUGAAGAAUGUUUUUUGAAGGGAGUAACUGGUUAUUGAUGAUUAUGUAAAUAGGAUUCAGUUCAAGUACCAACUGAAGAAUGUCUGUAUUUGAUUCUUCUUCUAAAUAUGUAAACUGAAAUGAAGUGCAUGUAUUUGAUUCAGUUUCUGAAACGGAGCUUGCAAGAUUUUUGGGAA